CCGGGCCCCGAGCGAGCUGCGCGCGUCCGGGCGGGAGCCCGGGGCUCCGGGGUUCAAAGGGCCGCAGCCCCCCAGGGAAUGCCCCGGGGGACAGAAGCGGACUGCAGGGCGGUGGGACCGGCCUGGGCCACGGAGCUUCAGGGAGCAGUGUUUGGAGAGACCAUCUCUUUAAUUAUUAAAAGUUCCGGGGGGUCGUCUGAAAAUCUAGAGUGAGGAAGUAUGAUCAGGACUUGGUCGGACUUCCCUGCUACCCGAGGAGGAGCCUGCUCCCAUAGGACCCCAAGAAUCCUCCGAGGUUUCCUGCGAUGAUACAAUGACAUGAUCCAUGGGCAACGCUCGGCAGGGGCUCUGUAUGUAGCCUGUGCUUGAAAAUGCUGUCACGGGUAGAGUCGUUACCCCUUGUGUCUGAAAGGAGAUUCCAUCUGCAUUCACAAAAAAGAAUGAGGACCUGAGGCCUUCACCUGGAUGGUCUUUGUGAACUACAUCCUUCAGCCAGUACUGGUUCUUCCGUGACGCUGGCUUUGGUCAGAUGCAAUGGUCGAAGCGUCCAUGGCAUUCGAGGAGCCCCAACACAGCACGUGGACGAGGCCAGCGUGCGCUGAGAAGAGUCAGGCUUGCUUACCUGUUGGCCUCGGGGUUUUUCUCGUCCACCUGCGACCGCUGGAUGGUGUCAGAAUCGGGAGUCAGUGACGGCCAGCAGUCACGCACGAACACAACCAAUGCCCCUCCCGAC